GAUGAACGCUGGCGGCGUGCCUAAUACAUGCAAGUCGAGCGGACGGACGAGAAGCUUGCUUCUCUGAUGUUAGCGGCGGACGGGUGAGUAACACGUGGAUAACCUACCUAUAAGACUGGGAUAACUACGGGAAACCGGAGCUAAUACCGGAUGAUAUUUUGAACCGCAUGGUUCAAAAGUGAAAGACGGCCUUGCUGUCACUUAUAGAUGGUUCCGCGCUGCAUGAGCUAGUUGGGAAGGUUACGGGUUUCCAGGGCAAGGAUGCGUAGCCGACGGAAGGGGGUGAUAGCCCACACGGGAGGUGAGACAGGGUCCAGACUCCUACGGGAGGCAGCAGUAGGGAAUCUUCGGCAGUGGGCGAAAGCCUGGCGGAGCAACGCCGCGUGAGUGAUGAAGGUCUUCGGAUCGUAAAACUCUGUUAUUAGGGAAGAACAUAUGUGUAAGUAAAUGUGCACAUCUUGACGGUACCUAAUCAGAAAGCCACGGCUAACUACGUG
rnacentral:rRNA from 1 species